UGAAAACUAGCAAGUUAAGGUGCUUUUAGAAGCUUAAUAGGGAAUCCGGUGAAAAUCCGGAACUGUCCCCGCAACUGUAACUGCGACGAAAGGAUAUAAACCACUGCAUCUCCUUUGAUGCGGGAAGGAAUCUAAGUAGGAUGAAGCAUAAGUCAGGAGACCUGCCAUAACUUGUUCAAGUUU
rnacentral:ncRNA from 2 species